rnacentral:rRNA from 1 species
UUGACCUCAAAUCAGGUAGGACUACCCGCUGAACUUAAGCAUAUCAAUAAGCGGAGGAAAAGAAACUAACAAGGAUUCCCCUAGUAACUGCGAGUGAAGCGGGAAAAGCUCAAAUUUAAAAUCUGGCGGUUCUUGACCGUCCGAGUUGUAAUCUAGAGAAGUGUUACCUGUGCUGGACCGUGUACAAGUCUCCUGGAAUGGAGCAUCAUAGAGGGUGAGAAUCCCGUCUUUGACAUGGACUGCCUGCAUGUURUGGUGCGCUCUCGAAGAGUCGAGUUGUUUGGGAAUGCAGCUCAAAACGGGUGGUAAAUGCCAUCUAAAGCUAAAUAUUGGCGAGAGACCGAUAGCGAACAAGUACCGUGAGGGAAAGAUGAAAAGAACUUUGGAAAGAGAGUUAAACAGUACGUGAAAUUGCUGAAAGGGAAACGCUUGAAGUCAGUCGCGUUGGCUAGAAAUCAGCCUUGCUUUUGCUUGGUGUACUUUCUUGUCGACGGGUCAGCAUCAGUUUCGACCGCUGGAUAAGGACUUUGGGAAUGUGGCAUCUUUGGAUGUGUUAUAGCCCAUUGUCGCAUAYGGUGGUGGGGAUUGAGGAACUCAGCACGCCGCAAGGCCGGGUCUCUGACCACGCUCGUGCUUAGGAUGCUGGCAUAAUGGCUUUAAUCGACCCGUC